GGAAGGAGAAAGAGAGAAAACAAAAAGAUCAGUAAAGUCAGAGGACUGUCCCCUGCCCCCUGUUAGCAACCAAGACCAUUUGCCACCCAACAUGGUGCCUGAGGGAGCGACAACUUCAAUAACUUUGGGCAAAGGCUCCUGAGUUACUUGGAAGCUCCUGCCCACACGGGUAGCCAGAAAAACAUCAGGAAUAUCUAAGUUUCUCAAAAAUGUUCUCAAACCACUAGCUGCUGCUGAACCCUCUGACAAGGCAGGAGACACUAAGUGUGAUGCUCCCCACAUUUCUACCAGGAAAGAAGCCAGCAUGGCUAUUUUUGUCAUCAGUUUUGUUUUGCACAAGGGCUGGAAGAGGAUCCCUGUGGUGUUUUAUUCAUCCUUGGCUAGAAACUGCAGUCCAAGGCUUUCAUCAAGACUCCGGCAGACCCAUAAACACGGCUCUUCUCUGCACGCACAGAUAAUUUGGGGGCUAGUUAGCCAAGAGAACUUGAAUCAUAGUCUUGAAGCACAGGCAAAGCAUUCAUUCCUGAAAAACCACUGGCUCCUAAAAUACUCUGAGCUUGUUUGCAAUCCUGAAAAUUGCUAGCCAUCGGCGGGUAAGCAGAACACAGAAACAGGACUGAAAAAAUGAAAUAAAACCCAGGGUGCCUGCAUUAAGUGGAAAGUGCUUUGCACAACAACGUUGUAUCGACAAUGAAACAGCCAGCUGCUAACAGUUCCUGCCACCCUCUUCCCUUGUAGCUCACUAUUAUUAAACAUAAUUUGACUAAAGCACUGAACAUUUAACUUGCUAAUUGUCUUCCUCAUCACCAGCUCGAUGGCACUGAAGUUGCAGCUUUGAAAUUGCAACCGAUCUGCUUUAAUGUUCCAGGGCUGUUGAUGGAGGGCAGGGAGGAGAGGGAGGGGAGAUG